ACGUAGGGGUCAAGCGUUCUCCUUACUUAUUUGGCGUAAAGCGUGCGUGGGCGGUUUUUUAAGCGUGAGGUGAAAGGCAAUAGCUUAACUAUUGUAAGCCUUGCGAACUGGAAGACUUGAGUGCAGGAGAGGAAAGUGGAAUUCCUAGUGUAGCGGUGAAAUGCGUAGAUAUUAGGAGGAACACCAGUGGCGAAGGCGGCUUUCUGGACUGAAACUGACACUGAGGCACGAAAGCGUGGGUAGCAAACAG
rnacentral:rRNA from 1 species